UACAGAGGGUGCAAGCGUUUAAUCGGAAUUACUGGGCGUAAAGCGUGCGUAGACGGUUACAUAAGUCGGGUGUGAAAGCCCCGGGCUCAACCUGGGAAUUGCAUUCGAGACUGCGUAGCUAGGGUGCGGAAGAGGGAAGCGGAAUUUCCGGUGUAGCGGUGAAAUGCGUAGAUAUCGGAAGGAACACCAGUGGCGAAAAGCGGCUUCCUGGUCCAGCACCGACGUCAGGCACGAAAGCGUGGGGGAGCAAACAGG
rnacentral:rRNA from 1 species